rnacentral:rRNA from 1 species
GCUCAGAUUGAACGCUGGCGGCAGGCUUAACACAUGCAAGUCGAGCGGAGAGAGGUAGCUUGCUACUGAUCUUAGCGGCGGACGGGUGAGUAAUGCUUAGGAAUCUGCCUAUUAGUGGGGGACAACAUUUCGAAAGGAAUGCUAAUACCGCAUACGUCCUACGGGAGAAAGCAGGGGAUCUUCGGACCUUGCGCUAAUAGAUGAGCCUAAGUCGGAUUAGCUAGUUGGUGGGGUAAAGGCCUACCAAGGCGACGAUCUGUAGCGGGUCUGAGAGGAUGAU